UAAGGAAUAUUGCUCAAUGGGAGAAAUCCUGAAGCAGCAACGCCGCGUGGAGGAUGAAGGGUCUAUGACUUGUAAACUCCUGUAAAGAAGGAAAAAAUUCCCAUUAGAUGGGAGAUGAUGGUACUUCUGGAGUAAGCCCCGGCUAACUACGUGCCAGCAGCCGCGGUAAUACGUAGGGGGCAAGCGUUGUCCGGAUGUACUGGGUGUAAAGGGUGCUCAGGCGGAUUUGUAAGUCAGAGGUGAAAUCUUACAGCUUAACUGUGAAACUGCCUUUGAUACUGCAAGCCUAGAGUAUGGAAGAGAGUGAUGGAAUAUCUGGUGUAGCAGUGAAAUGCGUAGAUAUCAGAUAGAACACCAAUGGCGAAGGCAGUCACUUGGUCCAUUACUGACGCUAAAGCACGAAAGCGUGGGUAGCAAACA
rnacentral:rRNA from 1 species